CUGUCAGUCGAACGAAGAGCUUAGAGUAGCAAUACUCUGAUAACUCUUAGUGGCGAACGGGUGAGUAACGCGUUGGUGACCUACCCCAAAGACAGGGAUAACAGCUCGAAAGGGCUGCUAAUACCUUAUGUUAUCAUUUGGCUUAGAUGCCUUUUGAUUAAAGGAGCCUAGCUCCGCUUUGGGAGGGGCCUGCGUCCCAUCAGCUAGUUGGUAGGGUAACGGCCUACCAAGGCUAUGACGGGUAGGGGACCUGAGAGGGUGGCCCCCCACAAUGGAACUGAAACACGGUCCAUACAUCUACGGAUGGCAGCAGUAGGGAAUAUUGGUAAUCUGCGAAAGCGGGAACCAGCAACGCCGCGUGUGCGAAGACGGCCUUCGGGUUGUAAAGCACUUUUCGGGAGGAAGAGGAAGGACUGUACUCCCGGAAUAAGUCUCGGCUAACUACGUGCCAGCAGCCGCGGUAAUACGUAGGAGGCUAACGUUAUCCGGAUUUACUGGGCGUAAAGCGCGUGCAGGCGGUUCGGUAAGUUGGACGUGAAAGCUCCCGGCUUAACUGGGAGAGGUCGUUCAAUACUGUCGGACUUGAGGAUGGUAGAGGGAGGUGGAAUUCCGGGUGUAGUGGUGAAAUGCGCAGAUAUCCGGAGGAACACCAGUGGCGAAAGCGGCCUCCUGGACCAUUCCUGACGCUCAGACGCGAAAGCUAGGGUAGCAAACGGGAUUAGAGACCCCGGUAGUCCUAGCCGUAAACGAUGUGAACUUGGCGUCGGUGGGAUUAAAUCCAUCGGUGUCGAAGCUAACGCGAUAAGUU
rnacentral:rRNA from 1 species